GCCUUGUUUACUUUAGGGUGGUAUCCAAGUUGGUCAAUGAUCACAGGUCAGCUCAGACAAGACAACUACCUUUAGCACAGGCUAAAAAAUAAGGUAGCGACCUUUGGGCUCUUUCUCCCCACUCUUGCUUUCGCAGUUCUGAUAAAAUGAUAAGGAGGCUGUUGCAAAGUCAUACAAGAAAAUGGGCUAAAUGACAUUGAGAACACUCUGCAGAGCUCUAAUGAUGGCCAGGGAUGUGGUUACAGAGGCUGGAAUAGCCUCGCUGAGCUACAGGCACUUGGUAUGAACAGAGAGGACUUUAUUUCUAGCAUCUGUCUGGGAGGCAGGUAUGAGUGUUUAUUUCCUGGCACAAAAUUUCCAAGCAAAGAUCACAUUUUAGGCAUCUGAGGCUGCUGUAACAGACCACAAACCGGGAGGCUUAAACCACAUUUCUAUCUAUGCCAUGGUUCUGCAGGCUGGGGAGUUUAAGAUCAAGGUACCAGCUGGUUUGACUCGUGGUGAGGGCCUCUUCCUGGUUUGCAGAUGUUGCCUUCUUGCUGUAUCUUCACACAGUUGAGAUAGAUCUUCUCUGUCUCUUCUUAUUAGGGCACUAAGUUCAUCCGUAAGGGAUCCAUCUUAUCACCCAAUUAUCUUCCUAAGACCCUUUGACCAAACACCAUCACAUUGAGAGUUCAGGCUUCCACAUAUAAAUUUGGGAAGAACCAAACAUCCGGCCCAUAUUAGAUGACAUUCUGAGAGAAAAGGCAGAUCGAUUAAAACGUUCCUGGACAAUGGCCAGGCGGUGGAAAGCAGUUGCUGUAAUACGGAGAGGAUGGUAUCAAAGUGAAACGCGUAUGUCCUGUAAAGGACUCCCAGGUGUUGAAGAACAUGUAUGUCAGUCAGAAAACAAGUUAGGGUCACAAGUCAGAGCAGUUGGACCAGCCUUUGAUGACUCGACGCUGUCCUGUGUGGGACGAGAGGUGAGAGAGGAGCAAGUUCAAGAGGGGAAGGCCCCCCGAAGAGGCCACCUGUGACGGUUUGGGUGGACGUCAACUUGAUUGGCAGGGACCUACCACGGAGGAUUGGUGGAGAUAUUUCCGGGUGUGUCCAUCUGGGGUGUCCGGGUGUGUCCGUCACAGAAGCACAGCCUGGAGUCUGUGUCAGGGCCCUGGCCUCUUCCUCCCUGGCACUGUUCCCCGCUCUGCCUCCCAGCAGCCAUAAACUGAGCCCCUUUGCCCCACCAUCCCCUUCCACCAUGAUGUUUCUGCCUCUGAGACAGCCAAGCAUGGACUGGAUUCCCUGAAACCAGGAGCCAAAGUAAACCUUUGCUCUUCUAAGUUGUGGAUUUGGGUUAUUGUGUCUGUGGGUUGGAUGACUGUGAUGGAAAAACUAACUAAUAAACCAGAUGUCAGAUUUCAAGUUAAUACUUUUUUCGGGUACCUCCCGAGCAGCACACUGUCCAGAUCCCAUUAUCGGCAUCAACAGGGUCAGGUGUCAGGCAGAGGACAAGGGCAAAAUCUUCUGUGAAGUGUCCUGUGAUGAGCCAGCAGGUCCUGGGGAGGCAGAGCGGUAGUAGAAGCUGUGUCCCACUCUUACAUCCUUGCAACGCCCACCCAUUCGAGAAUGUCAACUCCUUAUUUCUGGCACUAUGGUUAAGUCCAAAUCUAUU
ensembl:lincRNA